CCCUUAGAUGUCCGGGGCCGCACGCGCGCUACACUGAAGGAAUCAGCGUGGCUUUCUCCCUGACCCGAAAGGGUUGGGAAACCCGUUGAAUCUCCUUCGUGAUAGGGAUUGGGGCUUGAAAUUGUUCCCCAUGAACGAGGAAUUCCCAGUAAGCGCGAGUCAUAAGCUCGCGUUGAUUACGUCCCUGCCCUUUGUACACACCGCCCGUCGCUACUACCGAUUGAACGGUUUAGUGAGGGCCUCGGAUUGGUCUCGGCCCGCUCUUUACCGGCGGCGCCGUUGGUCGAGAAGACGCUCGAACUUGAUCGUUUAGAGGAAGUAAAAGUCGUAACA
rnacentral:rRNA from 1 species